rnacentral:rRNA from 1 species
AGGACGAACGCUGGCGGCGUGCUUAACACAUGCAAGUCGAGCGGUAAGGCCCUUCGGGGUACACGAGCGGCGAACGGGUGAGUAACACGUGGGUGAUCUGCCCUGCACUCUGGGAUAAGCCUGGGAAACUGGGUCUAAUACUGGAUAUGACCUGUCCUCGCAUGGGGGUGGGUGGAAAGAUUUAUCGGUGCAGGGAUGGGCCCGCGGCCUAUCAGCUUGUUGGUGGGGUAAUGGCCCACAAGGCGACGAUGGGUAGCCGACCUGAGAGGGUGACCGGCCACGACUGGGACUGGACGACACGGCCCAGACCUCCGUACGGGAGGCAGCAGGUGGGGAAUAUUGCACGAAGUGGGCGGAAGCCUGAUGCAGCGACGCCGCGUGAGGA